GUCUUUCUGUUGAAAUAUUGCAUGGUCUUCCGUUAACUAGAACAGUAUAUAAUUUUUCAUUAAUUUUAGCCAAUACUUCAUACGGUCCUUGAUCCUGGUGUACAAACGGUUUUGGAGAACAGUGAUGUGCGACUGGUUUGGCUCGAAUUUUUCUAAUUCUUUCUCUUAGUUCUUGGACGAAGAUUUCGGGCUUAACUGGCUGCUCCGGGUC